UUGAAAGAGGUUGGUGUUGUUGAAGGAGAGGGUAAGGAGCGUAGAUAUUGGAAGAAGGAGAGGGCAAUUUUGGAAUUGUGACGGAGACGGAGGAGGGUUUGGUGGAUGAGGUUGGGAGUGAGGGAGAUGCCGUUGAGUUGGAGAGAUGAUUCCAUGAAGUGGAAUGGGUUGUGAUUUGUUAUUAACAUUUGGGAGAUUAGUUCGGCGUCGGAGGAAGGUUCGAGUUUUGGGAGGUUGAGAGUGAAUCCGGCGGAGAUGAUGGUGGAGAUACGGCGGCGGAGUUGGUGGAGAUGGAACGGUGGUGAGAUUUGCUUCAGUAGCAGCAUUUUGCCGUUUCUCUUGCAGCCACAAUCUCAAUAUAACUAGAAAAGAGAAAAGAAGAGAAAUGAGUUAUAGAGAAGACGGAGAAGGUCGGCGAG